GAUGAACGCUGGCGGCGUGCCUAAUACAUGCAAGUCGAGCGAACAGAUGAGGAGCUUGCUCCUCUGACGUUAGCGGCGGACGGGUGAGUAACACGUGGAUAACCUACCUAUAAGACUGGGAUAACUUCGGGAAACCGGAGCUAAUACCGGAUAAUAUAUUGAACCGCAUGGUUCAAUAGUGAAAGACGGUUUUGCUGUCACUUAUAGAUGGAUCCGCGCCGCAUUAGCUAGUUGGUAAGGUAACGGCUUACCAAGGCAACGAUGCGUAGCCGACCUGAGAGGGUGAUCGGCCACACUGGAAAUGAGACACGGUCCAGACUCCUACGGGAGGCAGCAGUAGGGAAUCUUCCGCAAUGGGCGAAAGCCUGACGGAGCAACGCCGCGUGAGUGAUGAAGGUCUUCGGAUCGUAAAACUCUGUUAUUAGGGAAGAACAAAUGUGUAAGUAACUAUGCACGUCUUGACGGUACCUAAUCAGAAAGCCACGGCUAACUACGUG
rnacentral:rRNA from 1 species